AGUGUAGUAGUUUAAGUUAAAACAUGAAGUUGCAAGCUUCAAAAAAGGUUUAAACCCUUUACAUUU
rnacentral:tRNA from 1 species